GUAGGCCCCUCGGGAUCGGCUUUCAGGAGCGGGUCUCAUUUGGGCGCCGGCAACGGCGUUCGUGAAGCGUAGACAGCGGAUGCUGAAGCCCGAGGUUGAGCCUCGAAAUGCUCUAUACGCUGGAGCCUUUGGUGUUGGGACCACUGGGGGCAGCAUCGGCGGGACCGUGAUAGGCGAGGUCUUGUCGAUCCGGCCGGGGUCUGAGAACC
rnacentral:ncRNA from 1 species